CAGUCGCCGCGGUAAUACGUAGGUGGCAAGCGUUAUCCGGAAUUAUUGGGCGUAAAGGGCUCGCAGGCGGUUUCUUAAGUCUGAUGUGAAAGCCCCCGGCUCAACCGGGGAGGGUCAUUGGAAACUGGGAAACUUGAGUGCAGAAGAGGAGAGUGGAAUUCCACGUGUAGCGGUGAAAUGCGUAGAGAUGUGGAGGAACACCAGUGGCGAAGGCGACUCUCUGGUCUGUAACUGACGCUGAGGAGCGAAAGCGUGGGGAGCGAACAGGAUUAGAUACCCCCGUAGUCCCUGUCUCUUAUAC
rnacentral:rRNA from 1 species